CCCCGCUGAAGUGAGGCAAAUCAUAAAGGGAGGAAAAGAAAACUACAAGGGUUCCCCCUAGUAACUGCGAGUGAACGGGAAAAGCUCAAAUUUGAAAUCUGGCGUCCCUUGCCCGUCCGAGUUGUAAUCUAGAGAAGUGUGACCUGUGCUGGACCGUGUACAAGUCUCAUGGAAUGGAGCAUCAUAGAGGGUGAGAAUCCCGUCUCUGACAUGGACUACCUGCACGUUGUGGUGCGCUCUCAAAGAGUCGAGUUGUUUGGGAAUGCAGCUCAAAAUGGGUGGUAAAUUCCAUCUAAAGCUAAGUAUUGGCGAGAGACCGAUAGCGAACAAGUACCGUGAGGGAAAGAUGAAAAGAACUUUGGAAAGAGAGUUAAACAGUACGUGAAAUUGCUGAAAGGGAAACGCUUGAAGUCAGUCGCGUCAUCCAGGGAUCAACCUUGCUUCUGCUUGGUGCACUUUCUGGUUUGAUGGGUCAGCAUCAAUUUUGACCAUUGGAAAAAGGCUAAGGGAAUGUGGCAUCUUCGGAUGUGUUAUAGCCUCUGGUCGCAUACAUCGGUUGGGAUUGAGGAACUCAGCACGCCGCAAGGCCGGGUUUUUACCACGUACGUGCUUAGGAUGCUGGCAUAAUGGCUUUAAUCGACCCGUCUUGAAACACGG
rnacentral:rRNA from 1 species